rnacentral:rRNA from 1 species
AACGAACGCUGGCGGCAUGCCUAACACAUGCAAGUCGAACGGGAUCCUAGCUUGCUAGGUGAGAGUGGCGGACGGGUGAGUAACACGUGGGAAUCUGCCUUUUGGUUCGGGAUAACCGCGGGAAACUGCGGCUAAUACCGAAUGCCCUCGAGAGAGGAAAGAUUUAUCGCCAGAAGAGGAGCCCGCGUCCGAUUAGGUAGUUGGUGGGGUAAAGGCCUACCAAGCCGACGAUCGGUAGCUGGUCUGAGAGGAUGAUCAGCCACACUGGGACUGAGAUACGGCCCAGACUCCUACGGGAGGCAGCAGUGGGAAUAUUGGACAAUGGGGCAACCCUGAUCCAGCAAUGCCGCGUGAGUGAUGAAGGCCUUAGGGUUGUAAAGC